GCCAGGGCCGCCGCUGCUGCCGUGCCGGCGCGGCGGGGGCCGCUCGCAAACCUGCGGCGGUGACGCGAGACCCGCCAACCCGGAAACGGCGGCGGCGGCGCCCGAGGCUCCUGCGCGCGCGCGCCCGCGCUCCCCUCGCCGCUCGCCCGGGCCGCCAGGAGAAGAAACUGAACCCUGGAGUUUGAGUAAUUUGUUCAAGGUUACCAAGUUGAUUAAUACACUUACUAGGGAAGCAAAAUACAGUGGGAUUACAUACCUGCAUCCAGUAAGAAGUCUGACUCUCCUGAGACCACCAUGCGCUGAUGGCUGUCUGGCUAGUCCCAGAUGUCCCAGCCUUCAGAGACUAGGCAUCUGACGGGAGAGUGAGGAACUCAGCUGACAGCCAGAACAGACCCUCCAGCUGCGUGGCCCUGCAUGAACCGUGUCCAGCAGCUAGAUCCAUUCCAAAUGAGGCCCGAACUCUUUUGGGUCAGAGGGGAGUGGUCCCCACUGUGCCCUGCCCGUGAGGACCCACAAAAUUGUGAGCAUUAGAAAACGACUGUUGUUUACAUAGAUUUUCAUUGGUCUACAGUUGCUUUACAAUGUCAUGUUAGUUUCUAUUGUACAGCAAAGUGAAUCAGUUUUAUGCAUACAUAUGUCCCCUCGCUUUUGGACUGCUGUCCCACUUGGGUCUCCACAGAGCACUGAGCAGGUUUCCCUGUGCUACAGAGUCGGUUCUCAUUAGUUAUCUAUUUUAUACACAGUAGUGUAUAUAUGUCAACCCCAAUCUCCCAACCCAUCCCACCACCUCCCCUUCCCCCUUGGCGUCCCCAUAUCUGUUCUCUAUGUCUGUGUCUCUAUUUUUGCCUUGUAAAUAUAGUCAUCUAUACCAUUAGAAAAUGACAAUUGUUUUUAAAAAAUGCUCUAGAGGAACAGAAACUAGAAGGAGAGGCACACACACACACACAAAAAAAAAAAAAAAAAUAGAGAAGGCUGAAAAGUAAAGAAUAAUUGUAUCAGUUCUCAAACUGUGAUUGCUGGUACACUUAAUCCAACUUUUUCAUUUUUCCAACUUUUAUCAUUCAUUUAGUCAUUCAAGAAAAAACAUAUUGAGCCUGCUGCAAGCCAGGCAUUAUACUUUGUGCUGGGGAUACCAAAAAGCUGAAUAAAAUAGCUCUGUCCUCAGGGGAAUGGCUAGUUUAAUGAGGAUGUCAAGCUAUUACCAUACAAUGGGAUACAAGGCUGCUUUAGAGAAGGAACUGAUUGCCCUGAAGAUGCAGAGGUUUCCUAGCUUUAAUAGUCAGAGAGCACUGCAGAGAAGGUUCUGCUUGAGAUAAGCCUCAAAAGAAUGAGUAGAGGUUUACCAGAUGGCCAAGGUGGGACAGGGCAAAUUCUAUGACUACAAAGAACAGUGAAUUCAUUUUUGGGACAGUAGCUUCAGCUGUUCCUGUGGUCUCGAUUUUUCCUUGUGUCUCCUGGGCAAAGCAUUGAUUGCAUAACCAGAGAAUUACUUUCAGAUGAGUAUUUGGUUUUAUCUGCAUGAUAAGUAUGACUGGAAAAACACAGGUCAUGGGGUGUAUGGCCUUACUCAACCUAGGCUUGUCAAACAAGUGCCCUACAUAAGCUAAACUUACUCAACAUAGGGGACAAGGCCUUAGCCCUCCCUACCCCCUACACCCCCACCCCCAAUGUAACCUGUGUUAUUGGUUUGUUUGUUUGUUUUCCAAGUGUGCUGUCUAUUCAAAUCUGACUCUUCAGACAAGUUCCCUGGCCCCUACCUCCUUCCAGUUUGCUGUCUUAAUCCCUUUUGAUAGAAAAGUUCUAGAAGUAUUUCAGGGUGAAUGCCAUGCUAUGAGAAUAAAAAUUGAUUUGUCUCCAGAAAAGGGCAAUAGAUUCAUAUGAGAAACAUUUCAUGUCCUAAAAAUCCAUGAGCUUUGUUUCUAGGAGACAAACUUGGUGAAAAAGACAUCUUCAGACUUUUCCCUACUGCCAAGUUUAAUGAAACUCCUUUUUCUGCAGUGUUUCUAACAUCAACUUUG